rnacentral:rRNA from 1 species
CCUACGGGAGGCAGCAGUGGGGAAUAUUGGACAAUGGGCGAAAGCCUGAUCCAGCCAUGCCGCGUGUGUGAAGAAGGCCUUCGGGUUGUAAAGCACUUUCAGUGGGGAAGAAAGCCUUGGGGCUAAUACCCUCGAGGAAGGACAUCACCCACAGAAGAAGCACCGGCUAACUCCGUGCCAGCAGCCGCGGUAAUACGGAGGGUGCGAGCGUUAAUCGGAAUUACUGGGCGUAAAGCGCGCGUAGGCGGUCUGAUAAGCCGGUUGUGAAAGCCCCGGGCUCAACCUGGGAACGGCAUCCGGAACUGUCAGGCUAGAGUGCAGGAGAGGAAGGUAGAAUUCCCGGUGCAGCGGUGAAAUGCGUAGAGAUCGGGAGGAAUACCAGUGGCGAAGGCGGCCUUCUGGACUGACACUGACGCUGAGGUGCGAAAGCGUGGGUAGCAAACAGGAUUAGAUACCCGAGUAGUC